GAUGAACGCUGGCGGCGUGCCUAACACAUGCAAGUCGAGCGAUUCUCUUCGGAGAAGAGCGGCGGACGGGUGCGUAACGCGUGGGUAACCUGCCCUGUACACACGGAUAACAUACCGAAAGGUAUGCUAAUACGAGAUAAUAUGCUUUUAUCGCAUGGUAGAAGUAUCAAAGCUUUUGCGGUACAGGAUGGACCCGCGUCUGAUUAGCUAGUUGGUAAGGUAACGGCUUACCAAGGCGACGAUCAGUAGCCGACCUGAGAGGGUGAUCGGCCACAUUGGAACGGGGACACGGUCCAAACUCCUACGGGAGGCGGCAGUGGGGAUUAUUGCACAAUGGGCGAAAGCCUGAUGCAGCACCGCCGCGUGGGCGAUGAGGCCUUCGGGUCGUAAAGUUCUGUCCUCAAGGAAGAUAAUGACGGUACUUGAGGAGGAAGCCCCGGCUAACUACGUG
rnacentral:rRNA from 1 species